ensembl:snRNA U6 U6 spliceosomal RNA
ACUAAAAUAUUGGCUUUGGCAUAUACUAAAAGUAGAAUGAUACAGAGUAGAUUAGCAUGGCCUCUGUAUAAAGAUGACACACAAAUUUGUGAAGCAUUUCAUAUUUUU